rnacentral:tRNA from 1 species
GCUGGGUUGGCUCAGUGGAUAGAGCUUAGGACUUGUGACCAUAAGGUGCAAGGUUCGAAUAGCGUUCGAAGAGGCA